GUAGGUGGCAAGCGUUGUCCGGAUUUACUGGGCGUAAAGGGCGCGCAGGCGGGCUCACCAAGUCUGGGGUGAAAUCUCCCGGCUCAACCGGGAGGGGUCUCUGGAUACUGGUGGGCUUGAGGGAAGCAGAGGAGAGCGGAAUUCCCGGUGUAGCGGUGAUAUGCGUAGAUAUCGGGAGGAACACCAGUGGCGAAGGCGGCUCUCUGGGCUUUUCCUGACGCUGAGGCGCGAAAGCGUGGGGAGCAAACCGGAUUAGAUACCCGGGUAGUCCACGCCGUAAACGUUGGGCACUAGGUGUGGGGGGUAUUGACCCCCUCCGUGCCGUAGUUAACGCAAUAAGUGCCCCGCCUGGGGAGUACGGCCGCAAAGGCUA
rnacentral:rRNA from 1 species